AGCAGCCGCGGUAAUUCCAGCUCCAAUAGCGUAUAUUAAAGUUGUUGCAGUUAAAAAGCUCGUAGUUGAAUUUCGAGAUCAAUUUGUUGGUCGUGCCUCGGUACGUACUGGCAAUUUUGAUUUCUCCCUUCUGAAGAACCAUGAUGUCAUUAAUUUGGUGUCAUGGGGAAUCAGGACCGUUACUUUGAAAAAUUAGAGUGUUUAAAGCAGGCUCGCGCUUGAAUACAUUAGCAUGGAAUAAUGAAAUAGGACGUUUGAUUCUAUUUUGUUGGUUUCUAGGAUCGACGUAAUGAUUAAUAGGGAUAGUUGGGGGCAUUAGUAUUCAAUUGUCAGAGGUGAAAUUCUUGGAUUUAUUGAAGACUAACUACUGCGAAAGCAUUUGCCAAGGAUGUUUUCAUUAAUCAAGAACGAAAGUUAGGGGAUCGAAGACGAUCAGAUACCGUCGUAGUCUUAACCAUAAACUAUGCCGACUAGGGAUCGGAUGAUGUUAAUUUUUAAUGUACUCAUUCGGCGCCUUACG
rnacentral:rRNA from 1 species